rnacentral:lncRNA from 10 species
GAACAUUUUACCAGGGUGAAAAUUCAAGGUUGAGGUAGAGGGAGCUACAAAGAUUAAGGCACCCUGGAAGCACAGAAGAGAAGUUCUUAAAUGCCCUUCAAGGUGAGAAUGCUCUCUAGAGAAGAUAUCAUUUGCCUUUAAAGGAUAGUGAGGAGUUUGUUAGAGAGACAAAGGAGGAAGCACAUUUUUCAGGGGAGGGGAUAUGUGUGUAAUGAUACAAAAGCAAGAGAGAACUUGGCACACGUGAAGGCCUGCAGGUAGUUUCACAUGUCUGGAACACAGUGGAUGUGUGAAGGGGACAUUUCAUAAAUGGCCUUGGACCUCACUGGAUCCUGAUUGAGUCAAUGCUUUGCAUUCUCAGUCCUCUGCAUAAAGCUGAGAGAUGCCUACAGCUGAGAGUGAAGCAAAAGUAAAAACCAAAGUUCGCUUUGAAGAAUUGCUUAAGACCCACAGUGAUCUAAUGCGUGAAAAGAAAAAACUGAAGAAAAAACUUGUCAGGUCUGAAGAAAACAUCUCAGUAAGUAAAUGAUCAUUGGGUAAUAGUGAUUUACAUAUGCGCAUAAAAUGCAGAUAUGGCUGCAUUUUAUGUUAAAAUUCUAAGGAAUUUUGAAAAUUAAAAACAGUAACACUAUGUCAUGGUCAAUAACAUGUGGUAAAAAUAAAGUUUAUAUUAGAAUCAA